GACGAACGCUGGCGGCGCGCUUAACACAUGCAAGUCGAGCGAAGCGGCGGACGGGUGAGUAACACGUGAGUAACCUGCCUUCGACAUUGGGAUAGCCUCGGGAAACCGGGAUUAAUGCCAAAUGGUCUAAGAUGGACUCGCGUCCCAUUAGCGAGUUGGUGAGGGAACGGCCCACCAAGGCGACGAGGGGUAGCCGGCCUGAGAGGGUGAACGGCCACAUUGGAACUGAGAAACGGUCCAACCUCUACGGGAGGCAGCAGGGGGGAAUAUUGCACAACGGAGGGAACUCUGAUGAAGCGACGCGGCGGGAACGAAGAAGGCUUUCGAGUCGUAAAGUUCUUUUAUAUGGGAAGCGGUACCAUAAGAAAAAGCCCCGGCUAACUACGUGCCAGCAGCCGCGGUAAUAC
rnacentral:rRNA from 1 species